UACGAAGGGUGCAAACGUUGCUCGGAAUUAUUGGGCGUAAAGCGCACGUAGGCGGCUUUGCAAGUCCCAUGUGAAAUCCCACGGCUUAACCGUGGAAGUGCAUGGGAAACUGCAGAGCUUGAGUACUUAAGAGGAUCGCGGAAUUCCCGGUGUAGAGGUGAAAUGCGUAGAGAUCGGGAGGAACACCAGUGGCGAAGGCGGCCAUCUGGAUCAACACU
rnacentral:rRNA from 1 species